GGCACAGUUCUGUGUGCACUGACAAAAGCACACGUGGCACCUACCGCCACACGGUCAGACACGGAGGCUUCGCUUCACAUCACACAGCCCCGCCUGCCCUCCCCGCCCUCCAGCCCCCGGCGAUCACUGAUUCACACACAGUCGAAAGUAGCAGCACAGAGAUGCUGUGCCCUUCGGACUGUUCCCCGCCCAGCGGCUGCGUCUUGCGACCGGGGUGUCGGCGCUGGCACGGUCAAGUUCCGUCCCACGAGGGCCUGCCCUGCGCCCUGUCACACUGUCAGCGGUUCCCGACCUCUGUGGUACCAGGGACCGGUGCUCCCAUGAACAUCUAACGGCUGAUGGCCUGAGGCGGAGCUGAGGCGGUGAUGCUGGCGCUGGGGGCGGCUGCAAACACAGGUGAAGCUUCGCUCGCUCGUCCGCCACUCACCUCCUGCUGUGUGGCCCGGUUCCUGACAGGCCACAGAUGGUACCAGUCCACGCCCGUGGGUUGGGGACCCCUGAACUAGGACUUCUCUCCUUCCACCGUCCGUUUUCUGUCAUGCACUAUUGCUCUUUCAUUGUACUUGGUCAUCCCCUGCCCCCCCCACCCCC